GCGGGUUUAACUCAGCUGGUAGAGUACGAGCUUCCCAAGCUCGCUGUCGCCGGUUCGAAUCCGGUAACCCGCUCCA
rnacentral:tRNA from 1 species